rnacentral:misc_RNA from 1 species
UGCUGGUGGCAUUGGCAGUAUAUGAUUUGGUGGCAGUUUUGGCACCUGGUGGGCCACUUAAGCUGCUGGUGGAAUUGGCCCAGACUCGAGAUGAGGAACUUCCAGCACUGGUUUAUGAGGCUCGGCCAGCAGUUUCACAAAAUAUGAAUAAUCAUGGUCGGAGUUUGGACCUUUUGAUUGGUGGAGUUUCAGAUUCAGGGUUGGUGGAAAUGCAAGCAAUGUCAGAUCACAAUGUGAAUCGAAAUGAGAGUGAAAAUUUUGUGAACUCUGAAUAUUCUGCCAUUCCGGUGAGGAAUUUUGGGAAUAUGGAAGGUGUAGGAAAUAGAGAUGAUACAGAGAGGUCCCCAUUAGUUGGUUUUUCUCGGGGAAGGCAUUCUUCAAGUAGUG